rnacentral:lncRNA from 1 species
ACACAAAUAUUUAUCGAAAUAAAGUUACUUCAUUUCAUGCGAAGAUGUGAAAACCACAAUCAUAAAAUUAAUAAUAUAUUAAAUUGGAUUUUUUAAUUUAACAGAGAAAGUGAAUGUUCCAUUUUCCUCUUACAUUUAAGCCCAUUUGUAAUAUUCAGUCCAGUCCAACAUUUAUUAAUGUGGUGGCUUAAUGCAAUUUUGACUUUGACUUUUUUU